rnacentral:rRNA from 1 species
CUCAAAUUUGUAAUCUGGCGUCCUUCGGGCGUCCGAGUUGUAAUCUAUAGAAGUGUUUUCCGUGCCGGACCAUGUCCAAGUCCCUUGGAACAGGGUAUCAAAGAGGGUGACAAUCCCGUACUUGACAUGACCACCGGUGCUCUGUGAUACACUUUCUACGAGUCGAGUUGUUUGGGAAUGCAGCUCAAAAUGGGUGGUAAAUUCCAUCUAAAGCUAAAUAUUGGCGAGAGACCGAUAGCGAACAAGUACCGUGAGGGAAAGAUGAAAAGCACUUUGGAAAGAGAGUUAAACAGUACGUGAAAUUGUUGAAAGGGAAACGAUUGAAGUCAGUCGUGUUCUUUGGACUCAGCCGGUUCUUCCGGUCUAUUUCCUUUGAACGGGUCAACAUCAGUUUUGUCCGGUGGAUAAAGGCAGGAAGAAAGUGGCUCCCUCGGGAGUGUUAUAGCUUUCUGUCACAUACACUGGAGGAGACUGAGGACUGCAGCUCGCCUUUUGGCCGGGGUUCGCCCACGUUCGAGCUUAGGAUGUUGACAUAAUGGCUUUAAACG